ensembl:lncRNA
UUCCUCCUUCAUUAAGGAAGAAAGCAGAUGGAUUCUUCCUUUUUCCUUUCCCGAGUAGGAUGUCUUUUGUACACAAUGGGCACGUGACCUCCUUUCACCAAGGAGGUUUACACCUCAGGGCCUCCAAGCAGAACUUGCCAUUUGAGUGGGGCCAAGCAGGAAACACAAAGCUGGAAUUUUCUCCCGAAGUUAAUCUGCCAAGGAGCUAAAGUGAGAUCGGAGAGAGCAGCCCUUGUCCAGUUUUCCUGUCAGACACAUCAGUCUCACUUGGAUCUCUCCUGUGCCAUGGCAGAAGCCCAUCUGGGAAAAUAGGACCACUACAAGGUCAGGCUUGGUUUUCUUUGGCUCCGAGUCUGGAUUUGGCUGAAUCCAAACAAAACUGACAAAACAGACAAAAUUGAAUAAAAUAAUUAUACAAGAGAUAGUUGUAAAAAUAAAAUAAAACUGAGCACCUCCAAAGCUGUGAUCAGCCCUGUUUUGCUAUUUGGAUUGGGUCAUAGUCUUUCUUGAGUAGAGGAACAGGAGGACAGCAUAACAUUGUCCCUGUGGCUCUCCAGCCAGAGGUAGUCUCAACCCUACCUAGCCUGGCAGCUACGAGGCUGGCCCAGCAUCUGGUUCGGGCCCUCUGUGUACAAGUUCCUGGGCCUGGGGUGAGGUGCUUUUGUCAUAAGGUCUUUCAACAUCAUCCUGGCACUGUGGGAGGCAGAGUCAGUGCUUUAAGCUCUGGGGACUCAACUUUGUUACGCUUUACUUCUGGCCAGUUUCCCCUAGCAUGAUGAGCUCUGCUCCGGAAGACGAAGAACUGCCAUAUGCUGGUUGAUUGCAAAACAUCACUUUAUGUCUGGGGGCCUCGGUUUCCUUGGAGUGAGGGCAUUUGUAGCUCUUAUCUCAGCACAAACAAUCUGUGAAUCUGUGUUCUGCCUCUGCCUGUGUGUAUUUGUCCUUCAUUCCUUCCAGCCCCUGGUUCUGGGGAUGUUCUUCCAGACUGUUCUUGGCCCCUCUUCUCUUACCCAGAUUUCUCUGUGCACAAGAACAAGAUUACGUUUGAAAGGAUCAUUGUUUCUUAUAUGAUAAACAACUGUGAUAAAGGAAGGACUGACCUAUUUCAGAAGCAGACAACCAAGAAGCUAUGGCUUUCUCUUCCUUAGAAUUAGCCAGUUUUUCUUCUUGGAACAUGUUUUAUAGAACUUGACUAAUUCCUCUGGCAACACAUGGCUGAAGUUUUCUGGGCUGUAGAUCAAAGUCUCCAAGUUGUCCAGCGCAGACAACGAGUACACAGCAAGAGGCAGGAGAAAGCCUUUGCAAUGAAUUUUGGAAUCCGACUCCAGUUGAAUGAAUUUUGGAGUCAGACUCUAUAAAGCAGAAAAAGGAUAGGCAUAAUUAUCAUGGAAGAUGUUCAUUAUCACAGAAUAUUGUGUAGAGUUCCCUGGGCUAUAUAGCAGGUCUCUGCGUGAUAACCAGUUCUUGGUGUCCUUCCCCAAGUUCAAAUCAAACAGGUGCCCUCCAGCACUUCUUCCUCUCUAAUACCAUCUGUCUGCCUUCCUGGGAAAGUGAGCAAGAACUGGGCUCUUGGCAAAAACGUUGAGUUCUCCUCUGAAGCUCAGAACAAGGUGUUCUUCUCUGCUAGUGCAUCCUCCUGAGAGUUCACACCAUGUUGCCUUGUUUUUGUGGUUGACCCCCAGAGCUCUGCUACCAGCCCUGCUCUUUCCAGACCUUCUGUCCUCGCGGUGCUCUGGGCAGCUUCACCAGAUGUAGCCCCUUCCACCUCCUUCUCUCCAACUUUCUUCAGGGCUUCCUCUGCCUGGAUCAUCUGCCUUCCACCCUCUCCUCUCAGAUGUCCAGACUCUGGAACCUCAGAGUCCUUUAGCUUCCACUGACUCACUUUCCUCAAAUAUUCUUUUAUUGGUCACCAAUUUUAUUCCUUCAUAUAAUGCAGAAGGAAAUGAUCUAUCUCGUUAAUAUUUAGAAAUAUUUGGGUGAAUUUUCAUGAUGUAAGAAGAAAGCAGCUCCUGAACAUAAAAAUGCACCUGAAGCUGAAGGGUUAUGUUUUCAUUAUGUUUUAAAAGUCAGUUGGUGGAAAUAGAGGGAAGGAAGAGAGCUGUGUAGAUGGGGCAGCCAUGGGACAACAGUUGUUCAGGCUGAAGAAGGGUGGACUUGUGGGGGUUUAUUAUACUGUUCUGUCUACUUUUAUGUGUAUUUGAGAUUCGCUACAAUAAAAAUAAAAAAGGCAUUGUAAUAAAAAAAUUAUCAUGGAAGAAAUGCAAAUGACCCAACGCAUUAAAAAAAAAAGUCUAACUUCUCUAAUAAUGAAAUGCAAAAAAAAAAAGAAAAAAAAA